GUUAGUUUUCGUUUGGAAAUGACGUUGAAGCGACCUUGUCUUGUUUUAAGGACCUGUCCCGUCCUUUGUGUCGAGAGAUUGAAAAGGAUUUAGGAAAGGCUUACAGGAAAUGACUUGCGUCACUGUUGAAACUGGAGACCACAAUUUGCCCAGGGAUGGCCAACGCCUUGAAACAGCUCUGACUGCAAAAUGGAUAAUACAGCCGUAUUGUGGUACCAUAUCCUGGCUCGGACCUUACGAACGGACUGUAUUAAAACUUCGGGCAAGGAAGGAGAAGAAGAAAAGAAUGUGAGAAAGAAAUAUUGAGCAAAAGAGUUACCUGUUAAUGUACAAUAGGCAGGUCUUUGGAUUACAUAAAUUACCAUCAUGAGAACAAGUUAUGUAAGAAGUCAAUGGGCAAUAAGUACACAGUACUUAAGAAAGAGACCAUAGAUGGCAUCAGAACACAAUAAUAUCCAUACAAUUGAAGUAAAAGUAGAAGACGAUUCGAGGUUCAAUACACUUCGUUCGUGUCAUGGUUAUAACCGAUCCUGCCCCAUUUUCUGACUGACUUCAACCACAAGAAACUUCAUAAAAAUAUCUUCUGGGCUGAGACUGAAACCCCCAAGUGUGUUAGUCAUUGGACCAUUAGUAUAAGUAACACUGUUACUAGUAUUACACAGUGUCACUAAAUAAUCGAAAUAAAUUAAUGUCAGUAAAAGCAAAUAAAUAUGAAACAAGUGAA